GGUCCCGUAGUAAAAUGGAUAUUAUGCAAGCCUCCGGAGCUUGAGGUGCAGGUUCGAUUCCUGCCGGGACCA
rnacentral:tRNA from 3 species